UCCGGUUUAGCUCAGUCGGUAGAGCAGAUGACUGUUAAUCAUCGUGUCCCUGGUUCGAGUCCAGGAAUCGGAGCCA
rnacentral:tRNA from 1 species